rnacentral:rRNA from 1 species
CAGGCUUAACACAUGCAAGUCGAGGGGCAGCAUGGUCUUAGCUUGCUAAGGCCGAUGGCGACCGGCGCACGGGUGAGUAACACGUAUCCAACCUGCCGUCUACUCUUGGACAGCCUUCUGAAAGGAAGAUUAAUACAAGAUGGCAUCAUGAGUCCGCAUGUUCACAUGAUUAAAGGUAUUCCGGUAGACGAUGGGGAUGCGUUCCAUUAGAUAGUAGGCGGGGUAACGGCCCACCUAGUCUUCGAUGGAUAGGGGUUCUGAGAGGAAGGUCCCCCACAUUGGAACUGAGACACGGUCCAAACUCCUACGGGAGGCAGCAGUGAGGAAUAUUGGUCAAUGGGCGAGAGCCUGAACCAGCCAAGUAGCGUGAAGGAUGACUGCCCUAUGGGUUGUAAACUUCUUUUAUAAAGGAAUAAAGUCGGGUAUGGAUACCCGUUUGCAUGUACUUUAUGAAUAAGGAUCGGCUAACUCCGUGCCAGCAGCCGCGGUAAUACGGAGGAUCCGAGCGUUAUCCGGAUUUAUUGGGUUUAAAGGGAGCGUAGAUGGAUGUUUAAGUCAGUUGUGAAAGUUUGCGGCUCAACCGUAAAAUUGCAGUUGAUACUGGAUAUCUUGAGUGCAGUUGAGGCAGGCGGAAUUCGUGGUGUAGCGGUGAAAUGCUUAGAUAUCACGAAGAACUCCGAUUGCGAAGGCAGCCUGCUAAGCUGCAACUGACAUUGAGGCUCGAAAGUGUGGGUAUCAAACAGGAUUAGAUACCCUGGUAGUCCACACGGUAAACGAUGAAUACUCGCUGUUUGCGAUAUACUGCAAGCGGCCAAGCGAAAGCGUUAAGUAUUCCACCUGGGGAGUACGCCGGCAACGGUGAAACUCAAAGGAAUUGACGGGGGCCCGCACAAGCGGAGGAACAUGUGGUUUAAUUCGAUGAUACGCGAGGAACCUUACCCGGGCUUAAAUUGCAGAUGAAUUACGGUGAAAGCCGUAAGCCGCAAGGCAUCUGUGAAGGUGCUGCAUGGUUGUCGUCAGCUCGUGCCGUGAGGUGUCGGCUUAAGUGCCAUAACGAGCGCAACCCUUGUUGUCAGUUACUAACAGGUUCCGCUGAGGACUCUGACAAGACUGCCAUCGUAAGAUGUGAGGAAGGUGGGGAUGACGUCAAAUCAGCACGGCCCUUACGUCCGGGGCUACACACGUGUUACAAUGGGGGGUACAGAGGGUCGCUACCACGCGAGUGGAUGCCAAUCCCCAAAACCUCUCUCAGUUCGGACUGGAGUCUGCAACCCGACUCCACGAAGCUGGAUUCGCUAGUAAUCGCGCAUCAGCCACGGCGCGGUGAAUACGUUCCCGGGCCUUGUACACACCGCCCGUCAAGCCAUGGGAGCCGGGGGUACCUGAAGUGCGUAACCGCGAGGAGCGCCCUAGGGUAAAACUGGUGACUGGG